CCUACGGGCGGCAGCAGUGGGGAAUAUUGGACAAUGGGGGGAACCCUGAUCCAGCCAUGCCGCGUGUGUGAAGAAGGCCCUCGGGUUGUAAAGCACUUUCAGUGAGGAAGAACGCCUGGUGGUUAAUACCCAUCAGGAAAGACAUCACUCACAGAAGAAGCACCGGCUAACUCCGUGCCAGCAGCCGCGGUAAUACGGAGGGUGCGAGCGUUAAUCGGAAUUACUGGGCGUAAAGCGCGCGUAGGUGGCUUGAUAAGCCGGUUAUGAAAGCCCCGGGCUCAACCUGGGAACGGCAUCCGGAACUGUCAAGCUAGAGUGCAGGAGAGGAAGGUAGAAUUCCCGGUGUAGCGGUGAAAUGCGUAGAGAUCGGGAGGAAUACCAGUGGCGAAGGCGGCCUUCUGGACUGACACUGACACUGAGGUGCGAAAGCGUGGGUAGCAAACAGGAUUAGAUACCCCAGUAGUC
rnacentral:rRNA from 1 species